UUUCCUUUCAGUUGUGUCAGUGGUUCUCAACUGGUCUGGCUUCAGGACCCACUGUCACCCCUCAGUGACAAGGCACGACUCAAACUGAUAACAGUGAAAUGUCCCACAUUUAUUUAAGAAAAAGAUGGUGUGUU